rnacentral:rRNA from 1 species
GACGAACGCUGGCGGCGUGCUUAACACAUGCAAGUCGAACGGAAAGGCCCUGCUUUUGUGGGGUGCUCGAGUGGCGAACGGGUGAGUAACACGUGAGUAACCUGCUCUUGACUUUGGGAUAACUUCAGGAAACUGGGGCUAAUACCGGAUAGGAGCUCCUGCUGUAUGGUGGGGGUUGGAAAGUUUCGGCGGUUGGGGAUGGACUCGCGGCUUAUCAGCUUGUUGGUGGGGUAGUGGCUUACCAAGGCUUUGACGGGUAGCCGGCCUGAGAGGGUGACCGGCCACAGUGGGACUGAGAUACGGGCCGUACGCCUACGGGGGGCAGCAGUGGGGAAUAUUGCACGAUAGGCGGAGGCCUGAUGCAGCGACGCCGCGUGCGGGAUGACGGUCUUUGGGGUGUAAACCGCUUUCGCCUGUGACGAAGCGUGAGUGACGGUAAUGAGUAAAGAAGCACCGGCUAACUACGUG